rnacentral:rRNA from 3 species
GGGUUGUGAGGUUAAGCGACUAAGCGUACACGGUGGAUGCCCUGGCAGUCAGAGGCGAUGAAGGGCGUGCUAAUCUGCGAUAAGCGCCGGUAAGGUGAUAUGAACCGUUAUAACCGGCGAUACCCGAAUGGGGAAACCCAGUGUGACUCGUCACACUAUCAUUAACUGAAUCCAUAGGUUAAUGAGGCGAACCGGGGGAACUGAAACAUCUAAGUACCCCGAGGAAAAGAAAUCAACCGAGAUUCCCCCAGUAGCGGCGAGCGAACGGGGAGGAGCCCAGAGCCUGAAUCAGCAUGUGUGUUAGUGGAAGCGUCUGGAAAGGCGCGCGAUACAGGGUGACAGCCCCGUACACAAAAGCGCAUGUGCUGUGAGCUCGAUGAGUAGGGCGGGACACGUGGUAUCCUGUCUGAAUAUGGGGGGACCAUCCUCCAAGGCUAAAUACUCCUGACUGACCGAUAGUGAACCAGUACCGUGAGGGAAAGGCGAAAAGAACCCCGGCGAGGGGAGUGAAAAAGAACCUGAAACCGUGUACGUACAAGCAGUGGGAGCACAGGUUUACCUGUGUGACUGCGUACCUUUUGUAUAAUGGGUCAGCGACUUAUAUUCUGUAGCAAGGUUAACCGAAUAGGGGAGCCGGAGGGAAACCGAGUCUUAAUUGGGCGUUAAGUUGCAGGGUAUAGACCCGAAACCCGGUGAUCUAGCCAUGGGCAGGUUGAAGGUUGGGUAACACUAACUGGAGGACCGAACCGACUAAUGUUGAAAAAUUAGCGGAUGACCUGUGGCUGGGGGUGAAAGGCCAAUCAAACCGGGAGAUAGCUGGUUCUCCCCGAAAGCUAUUUAGGUAGCGCCUCGUGAAUUCAUCUCCGGGGGUAGAGCACUGUUUCGGCUAGGGGGCCAUCCCGGCUUACCAACCCGAUGCAAACUGCGAAUACCGGAGAAUGUUAUCACGGGAGACACACGGCGGGUGCUAACGUCCGUCGUGAAGAGGGAAACAACCCAGACCGCCAGCUAAGGUCCCAAAGUCAUGGUUAAGUGGGAAACGAUGUGGGAAGGCCCAGACAGCCAGGAUGUUGGCUUAGAAGCAGCCAUCAUUUAAAGAAAGCGUAAUAGCUCACUGGUCGAGUCGGCCUGCGCGGAAGAUGUAACGGGGCUAAACCAUGCACCGAAGCUGCGGCAGCGACACUGUGUGUUGUUGGGUAGGGGAGCGUUCUGUAAGCCUGUGAAGGUGUGUCGUGAGGCAUGCUGGAGGUAUCAGAAGUGCGAAUGCUGACAUAAGUAACGAUAAAGCGGGUGAAAAGCCCGCUCGCCGGAAGACCAAGGGUUCCUGUCCAACGUUAAUCGGGGCAGGGUGAGUCGACCCCUAAGGCGAGGCCGAAAGGCGUAGUCGAUGGGAAACGGGUUAAUAUUCCCGUACUUGGUGUUACUGCGAAGGGGGGACGGAGAAGGCUAUGUUGGCCGGGCGACGGUUGUCCCGGUUUAAGCGUGUAGGUGUGUGUUCCAGGUAAAUCCGGUUCACUUUAACACUGAGGCGUGACGACGAGGCACUACGGUGCUGAAGCAACAAAUGCCCUGCUUCCAGGAAAAGCCUCUAAGCAUCAGGUAACAUCAAAUCGUACCCCAAACCGACACAGGUGGUCAGGUAGAGAAUACCAAGGCGCUUGAGAGAACUCGGGUGAAGGAACUAGGCAAAAUGGUGCCGUAACUUCGGGAGAAGGCACGCUGACACGUAGGUGAAGUGAUUUACUCAUGGAGCUGAAGUCAGUCGAAGAUACCAGCUGGCUGCAACUGUUUAUUAAAAACACAGCACUGUGCAAACACGAAAGUGGACGUAUACGGUGUGACGCCUGCCCGGUGCCGGAAGGUUAAUUGAUGGGGUCAGCGCAAGCGAAGCUCCUGAUCGAAGCCCCGGUAAACGGCGGCCGUAACUAUAACGGUCCUAAGGUAGCGAAAUUCCUUGUCGGGUAAGUUCCGACCUGCACGAAUGGCGUAAUGAUGGCCAGGCUGUCUCCACCCGAGACUCAGUGAAAUUGAACUCGCUGUGAAGAUGCAGUGUACCCGCGGCAAGACGGAAAGACCCCGUGAACCUUUACUAUAGCUUGACACUGAACAUUGAGCCUUGAUGUGUAGGAUAGGUGGGAGGCUUUGAAGUGUGGACGCCAGUCUGCAUGGAGCCGACCUUGAAAUACCACCCUUUAAUGUUUGAUGUUCUAACGUGGACCCGUUACCCGGGUUGCGGACAGUGUCUGGUGGGUAGUUUGACUGGGGCGGUCUCCUCCUAAAGAGUAACGGAGGAGCACGAAGGUUGGCUAAUCCUGGUCGGACAUCAGGAGGUUAGUGCAAUGGCAUAAGCCAGCUUGACUGCGAGCGUGACGGCGCGAGCAGGUGCGAAAGCAGGUCAUAGUGAUCCGGUGGUUCUGAAUGGAAGGGCCAUCGCUCAACGGAUAAAAGGUACUCCGGGGAUAACAGGCUGAUACCGCCCAAGAGUUCAUAUCGACGGCGGUGUUUGGCACCUCGAUGUCGGCUCAUCACAUCCUGGGGCUGAAGUAGGUCCCAAGGGUAUGGCUGUUCGCCAUUUAAAGUGGUACGCGAGCUGGGUUUAGAACGUCGUGAGACAGUUCGGUCCCUAUCUGCCGUGGGCGCUGGAGAACUGAGGGGGGCUGCUCCUAGUACGAGAGGACCGGAGUGGACGCAUCACUGGUGUUCGGGUUGUCAUGCCAAUGGCACUGCCCGGUAGCUAAAUGCGGAAGAGAUAAGUGCUGAAAGCAUCUAAGCACGAAACUUGCCCCGAGAUGAGUUCUCCCUGAGACUUAGAGUCUCCUGAAGGAACGUUGAAGACGACGACGUUGAUAGGCCGGGUGUGUAAGCGCAGCGAUGCGUUGAGCUAACCGGUACUAAUGAACCGUGAGGCUUAACCUUACAACGCCGAAG